AACUUAUCAACCGUGACUUGGGUUUAGGCCCCUGGCUCGGCUUGGAUUUGGGUGCUUGCGGCCUCGUGCUGCUCACCUCAAAAGGAUUAGCUGGACAUGUCGUGAGACUUGGUUCUACUUGGCGUAAUAAGUAUUUCGCUGAGGACAUCCCCUCGUGGGGUGGCCAAGACUCUGGUACAAAGGUCUGCUUUCUAACCCGAUCGUCCUCGGACAUCCCUUUUUAUG
rnacentral:misc_RNA from 1 species